rnacentral:rRNA from 1 species
UAGGGUGUGACGCCUGCCCGGUGCUGGAAGAUUAAAUGAUGGGGUGCAAGCUCUUGACUGAAGUCCCAGUAAACGGCGGCCGUAACAAUAACGGUCCUAAGGUAGCGAAAUUCCUUGUCGGGUAAGUUCCGACCUGCACGAAUGGCGUAACGAUGGCCACACUGUCUCCUCCAGAGACUCAGCGAAGUUGAAAUGUUUGUGAUGAUGCAAUCUCCCCGCGGAAAGACGGAAAGACCCCAUGAACCUUUACUGUAGCUUUACAUUGGACUUUGAACAGAUCUGUGUAGGAUAGGUGGGAGGCUUUGAAGUAAGGUCGCUAGAUCUUAUGGAGCCGACGUUGAAAUACCACCCUGGUGUGUUUGAGGUUCUAACCUUGGCCCGUGAUCCGGGUUGGGGACAGUGUAUGGUGGGCAGUUUGACUGGGGCGGUCUCCUCCCAAAGUGUAACGGAGGAGUUCGAAGGUACGCUUGGUACGGUCGGACAUCGUACCUAAAGUGCAAUGGCAAAAGCGUGCUUAACUGCGAGACCGACAAGUCGAGCAGGUGCGAAAGCAGGACAUAGUGAUCCGGUGGUUCUGUAUGGAAGGGCCAUCGCUCAACGGAUAAAAGGUACUCCGGGGAUAACAGGCUGAUACCGCCCAAGAGUUCAUAUCGACGGCGGUGUUUGGCACCUCGAUGUCGGCUCAUCACAUCCUGGGGCUGUAGUCGGUCCCAAGGGUAUGGCUGUUCGCCAUUUAAAGUGGUACGCGAGCUGGGUUCAGAACGUCGUGAGACAGUUCGGUCCCUAUCUGCCAUGGGCGUUGGAGAUUUGAGAGGGGCUGCUCCUAGUACGAGAGGACCGGAGUGGACGAACCUCUGGUGUUCCGGUU